GGAAGUCGGCCUUCUGGAAUCGACUUGCAGGAGUUGGUUCCAAACCACUGUAUGCGGCUUUAAUUAAGAGUUGAGGUCGUGAGCGAUACAGGAAAAGGCAGUUGUAAACUGUCAGGU
rnacentral:ncRNA from 1 species